GACGAACGCUGGCGGCGUGCUUAACACAUGCAAGUCGAACGGAAAGGCCCUGCUUUUGUGGGGUGCUCGAGUGGCGAACGGGUGAGUAACACGUGAGUAACCUGCCCUUGACUUUGGGAUAACUUCAGGAAACUGGGGCUAAUACCGGAUAGGAGCUCCUGCUGCAUGGUGGGGGUUGGAAAGUUUCGGCGGUUGGGGAUGGACUCGCGGCUUAUCAGCUUGUUGGUGGGGUAGUGGCUUACCAAGGCUUUGACGGGUAGCCGGCCUGAGAGGGGGACCGGCCAAAUGGGGUCGGGAAUGCGCCCCGGCCCCAUACGGGAGGCGAGGGGGGAGUGGAGAGAAGAGCGGGAGGGGGCAGAGCGCGACACAGCCAGGUGGGGUGAAGGGGGUUGGGGUUAGGAACCCAAUUUGCCUUGUACGGGGGCGAGAGUGACGGUAAUGGGAGAAGAAGCCCCGGCUAACUUCGUG
rnacentral:rRNA from 1 species